rnacentral:rRNA from 1 species
CCUACGGGAGGCAGCAGUGAGGAAUAUUGGUCAAUGGCCGAGAGGCUGAACCAGCCAAGUCGCGUGAGGGAAGAAUGUCCUAAGGAUUGUAAACCUCUUUUGUCGGGGAGCAAAAAGGCUCUGCGGAGUCGUAUUGAGAGUACCCGAAGAAAAAGCAUCGGCUAACUCCGUGCCAGCAGCCGCGGUAAUACGGAGGAUGCGAGCGUUAUCCGGAUUUAUUGGGUUUAAAGGGUGCGCAGGCGGCGUGUCAAGCAAGCGGUAAAAUAGCGGGGCUCAACCCCGUCGAGCCGUUUGAACUGGCGCGCGUGAGGUCAGGCGAGGUAGGCGGAAUGCGGGGUGUAGCGGGGAAAUGCAGAGAUAGCACGAAGAACGCCGAGGGAGAAGGCAGCUGACCAGUCUGCGACGGACGCUCAGGCACGAAAGUGUGGGUAUCGAACAGGAUUAGAUACCCCGGGAGGC